AGAUCUCCCAGCUGGACAUUGGAAAUAGCUUUUGAUGGUUUAGGGCCUCUUUCAUUUGACCCCAGGAAAUGAGCUUUGACUGUUAGUCACCUGGAUGAAGAGCCCUGAGUUUAGCUCGUCAGAGUCCUGUAACCUGCAAAGACCCUCUGGUUGUACAAGGAUCGAUCGAUUGAAGUGACCAAUAACACAUCAAAGGAACUCCAGGCCUGGAAAAGAAAACAGCUUACAAUAUUGGUGUGGUGGCUUCUAGGAUUGGCUGGAGUUGCUACCUAUUGC
ensembl:lncRNA